rnacentral:rRNA from 1 species
UACGAAGGGGGCUAGCGUUGCUCGGAAUCACUGGGCGUAAAGCGCACGUAGGCGGCUUUCUAAGUCAGGGGUGAAAGCCCAGAGCUCAACUCUGGAAUUGCCUUUGAGACUGAGUGGCUUGAGUACGAGAGAGGGUAGUAGAAUUCCUGGUGUAGUGGUGAAAUACGUAGAUAUCAGGAGGAAUACCGGUGGCGAAGGCGGCUACCUGGCCCUAUACUGACGCUGAGAUACGAAAGCGUGGGGAUCAAACAGG